rnacentral:misc_RNA from 1 species
AAGUCGUAACAAGGUUUCCGUAGGUGAACCUGCGGAAGGAUCAUUAACACGUAUCCAACGUUAAACCCCCCGUGCACCUUAACGCCAGCACUCCAAGCCUUGAUAAGCAAUCUCUGGUAAAUCAUCGCCAAAACGGUUUUUGAUUCAGAGACUUCUUAAAGACGUGCGGAUUGUGCGGCUCGAACAGCCGAGGUUUCCAGAAAGCACACGAGAAUGAGUGAAAGUGUCAUUGUAGUGUGUUUGAUAGGAUAACUCCGUAAAAAAGAGAUCGUUGACCCUCACGGUCCUCGGACUUGGCUGGCUUCGGCCCCUUUAUUAACCACCCCUGUAUGUGAAAGUCGGGCUUGCAAACUACAGGCCCACAAAACGAACAACUGUUAACAAUGGAUAUCUUGGUUCUC